GGGCCCAUCCCGUAAGGCUAAAUACUCCCGAGAGACCGAUAGCGAACCAGUACUGUGAAGGAAAGGUGAAAAGAACCUCGAACAGAGGAGUGAAACAGACCCUGAAACCAUGCGCCUACAAGCGGUCGGAGCAUGUUAAAAUGUGACGGCGUGCCUUUUGCAUAAUGAACCUACGAGUUACUCUCGCUGGCAAGGUUAAGCGAUUCAGUCGCGCAGCCGAAGCGAAAGCAAGUCCGAACAAGGCGUACAGUCAGCGGGAGUAGACGCGAAACCAAGUGAUCUACCCUUGGUCAGGUUGAAGGUUGGGUAACACCAACUGGAGGACCGCACCGAUAAGCGUUGAAAAGCUUACGGAUGAACUGAGGGUAGGAGUGAAAGGCCAAUCAAACUUGGAGAUAGCUCGUACUCCCCGAAAUGCAUUUAGGUGCAGCCUCGAAGUAAAGUGAUAGAGGUAGAGCGACUGAUAAGAUGCGAGGGCUUCACCGCCUAUCAAGUCUUGACAAACUCCGAAUACUAUCACUUGAUCUUUGGGAGUGAGGGCAUGGGUGCUAAGGUCCAUGUCCGAAAGAGGAACAACUCAGACCACCAGCUAAGGUCCCGAAAUAAGGGCUAAGUUGAAUAAACGAAGUAAAACUGCAAAGACAGCUAGGAUGUUGGCUUGGAAGCAGCCAUUCAUUUAAAGAGUGCGUAACAGCUCACUAGUCGAGGAGUUUUGCAUGGAUAAUAAUCGGGCAUAAGCCCUUUACCGAAGCUGUGGAUGUCGUAAGACAUGGUAGGGGAGCAUUCCGGCGGCGACGAAGGCCGUCCUCGAGGACGACUGGAGCUUUCGGAAAAGCAAAUGUAGGUAUAAGUAACGAUAAAGGGGGCGUGAAACCCCCUCGCCAUAAGACUAAGGAUUCCUGAUCAACGCUAAUCGGAUCAGGGUAAGUCGGGCCCUAAGGCGCAGCCGAACGGCGUAGCCGAUGGAAGAAACGGUAAAGAUUCCGUUACUGGAUAUAGGAGCGAUGUGGAGACGGAGAAGUGACACACCCGCCUGCCGACGGAAGCGCAGGUUAAAGGAAGUAGGUAAACGCCGGGUAGGCAAAUCCGCCUGGCGUGCCGAAACUGACAGUAUCGAGAGCCCCCGGGCAAUCGAAUAGCGGUGGUAAUCAGGCUCCCAAGAAAAUCCGCUAAGCAUAUUCUAUAUCCACCCGUACCCCAAACGGACACACGUAGUCGGGUAGAAUAUACCAAGGCGCUCGAAAGACUCACGGUUAAGGAACUAGGCAAAUUGACCCUGUAACCUCGGGAAAAAGGGUCCCCAGUAAGAUGGGGCGCAGAGAAUAGGUCCAGGCAACUGUUUAACAAAAACACAGGGCUGUGCGAAAUUUCAAGAUGAAGUAUACAGCCUGACACCUGCCCGGUGCCGGAAGGUUAAGAGGAGAGCUAAUCGCAAGAGAAGGCUUGAAUUGAAGCCCCGGUAAACGGCGGCCGUAACUAUAACGGUCCUAAGGUAGCGAAAUUCCUUGUCGGGUAAGUUCCGACCUGCACGAAUGGUGUAAUGAUCUGGACACUGUCUCAACC
rnacentral:rRNA from 1 species